GACGAACGCUGGCGGCGUGCCUAAUACAUGCAAGUCGAACGCUUUUUCUUUCACCGGAGCUUGCUCCACCGAAAGAAAAGGAGUGGCGAACGGGUGAGUAACACGUGGGUAACCUACCCUCCAGCGGGGGAUAACACUUGGAAACAGGUGCUAAUACCGCAUAAUAGAGAAAACCGCCUGGUUUUCUUUUGAAAGGCGCAAUUGCGUCACUGGAGGAUGGACCCGCGGUGCAUUAGCUAGUUGGUGAGGUAACGGCUCACCAAGGCAACGAUGCAUAGCCGACCUGAGAGGGUGAUCGGCCACAUUGGGACUGAGACACGGCCCAAACUCCUACGGGAGGCAGCAGUAGGGAAUCUUCGGCAAUGGACGAAAGUCUGACCGAGCAACGCCGCGUGAGUGAAGAAGGUUUUCGGAUCGUAAAGCUCUGUUGUUAGAGAAGAACAAGUAAGAUAGUAACUGAUCUUGCCUUGACGGUAUCUAACCAGAAAGCCACGGCUAACUACGUGCCAGCAGCCGCAGUAACAC
rnacentral:rRNA from 1 species